CAAAGGGUGGAGAGCUCCUUUUUGCUUUAAUUGUAGCCAGGUUUGAUUGCAGUGGGAGCUGCACAUGUGUAAGCACAGCACUAUUUCUGCAGGGAGGUGGCUGAGACUUGGUUUGGAGUUUUGAGGAAAGAGAAGGGAAUGGAGUGGAGCUCAGCUUAGCUCAGUUCAUGGGUGUCUUGGGCUUUCUGCAGGAUGGGAUGCACCCCUCUUUCAGAGGGGUCUGCAGGAGAAUACAGCAGUGAUCCCAGUGCUUUCGAAUUGAGGCUGCUGGAUGCUCUAGAUCUGCUUACAUCAGACCCCGUCUGCCAGGACCACACGCUGGUCCUGACCAACAGUGAGAGCAGAGGCACGAAGGUAAGAAACACAGCUGCCACCUAACGCUCUGCCUUGCUGUUCAAGUAGUAUCUCUGGCACUUAUGAUGAUUGAUCUCUGGAGGCGUACGUCCCUGGAAGAGGGUCCCCUGCCUAUCUAGCCAUCAGCGUCAGGCCCUGCCACUUUCUUUCUCCCCAGCUCAGGCAGUUUGAACCACCUGUGCCCUUGUCAGUUCUGGAGCUGCAGGGCUCCCCACGCAAAAUUCGCUCUAUGGUAUAACUCUCCAUGCUGUAGCGAAAGCCUAGCCGUGGUGACAGCUGCACAGGUGUGAACUUACUCCUCUCUCCCAUGACAAUAGACCAUCCGUCUGCAUUGCAGAACCUAAAUCUGUAGGCUUCCCCUUUGCCUACCAAAUUUGGCCAGCCGUGUAUGCAAUGAGUCACUGCUACUUGGGUGUUCCCACAGAAAGCUGUGGGAUCAGGCUUGUGCGGGAGUACAGCUGCAACUGAGGAAGAGUGGCAGAAUCUGGCCCACAGAAGCUGACAUAUGGUAAGGCAAUAUAUGUUUCCUAGCAUGCGGAUCCAAAAAUUAUUCCUACAAGGUGCAGAGUUACAUUGAUUGUAUUACUGGAUUAUCAAAUGAUUAAAGCCAUUAACAAUCCACUCUUGAGCAAUCAACGUAACAAUGUUUAGUUGCCUUGCAGUAACAAUUAAAAGAUGAAGCAAUUUGCAAUAAUUAGGUAGUAUCUGGAAAAAGUAGUCCUCAUUAAGAGAAGUUAAAAGGACUUUUUUAUAUGGUUGAGAUGAACCUAGCAGGCCAAUUCCCCCUUUGUCACCCUCUCUUCUUUCCUCCUGUGUUUAAGGAAAACAAUCUGUUCUUGUUUAGCCUUUCGUUUUGGAAAAGAUC
rnacentral:lncRNA from 1 species